AUGGACGUCGCCGACAUCGCCUCCCCGUCUGGCCAGCAGGGGCAUCGGGGACACCGGACGGUGUCGUCGGAGCCGCCGAAGCGCCCCGCGGGGCGGACCAAGUUCCACGAGACGCGCCACCCGCUGUACCGCGGCGUGCGGCGCCGUGGCCGCGUCGGGCAGUGGGUGUGCGAGGUGCGCGUGCCUGGGAUCAAGGGCUCCAGGCUCUGGCUCGGCACCUUCAACACGGCCGAGAUGGCGGCGCGCGCGCACGACGCCGCUGUGCUCGCGCUCAUCGGCCGCGCCGCCUGCCUCAACUUCGCCGACUCCGCAUGGCGCAUGCUGCCCGUGCUCGCGGCCGGGUCGUUCGGUUUCGGCAGCGCGAGCGAGAUCAAGGCCGCCGUCGCCGUGGCCGUCGUCGCGUUCCAGCGGAAGCAGAUUAUUCCGGUCGCCGUCGCCGUCGUGGCGCUCCAGCAGCAGCAGGUUCCGGUCGCCGUCGCCGUCGUGGCGCUCCAGCAGAAGCAGGUUCCGGUCGCCGUGGCCGUCGUGGCGCUCCAGCAGCUGCAGGUUCCGGUCGCCGUGGCCGUCGUGGCGCUCCAGCAGCAGCAGAUUAUUCUUCCAGUCGCGUGCCUGGCGCCGGAGUUUUACAUGUCUUCCGGCGACCUGUUGGAGCUUGACGAGGAGCAGUGGUUUGGCGGCAUGGACGCUGGGUCGUACUACGCGAGCUUGGCGCAGGGGAUGCUCGUGGCGCCGCCGGACGAAAGAGCGAGGCCGGAGCACGGCGAGCAGAGCGGCGUCCAGACGCCGCUAUGGAGCUGCUUGCUCGACUAA
rnacentral:rRNA from 1 species